AACGAACGCUGGCGGCAUGCCUAACACAUGCAAGUCGAACGAGACCUUCGGGUCUAGUGGCGCACGGGUGCGUAACGCGUGGGAACCUGCCCUUAGGUUCGGAAUAACUCCCCGAAAGGGGUGCUAAUACCGGAUAAUGUCUUCGGACCAAAGAUUUAUUGCUUUUGGAUGGGCCCGCGUUGGAUUCGCUAGUUGGUAGGGUAAAAGCCUACCAAGGCGACGAUGCAUAGCUGGUCUGAGAGGAUGAUCAGCCACACUGGGACUGAGACACGGCCCAGACUCCUACGGGAGGCAGCAGUGGGGAAUAUUGGACAAUGAGCGAAAGCCUGAUCCAGCAAUGCCGCGUGAGUGAUGAAGGCCUUAGGGUUGUAAAGCUCUUUUACCCGGGAUGAUAAUGACAGUACCGGGAGAAUAAGCUCCGGCUAACUCCGUG
rnacentral:rRNA from 1 species